UGGGGAAUAUUAGGCAAUGGGGCGAAAGCCUGACCUAGCAACGCCGCGUGAGGGAAGAAGGUCUUCGGAUUGUAAACCUCUGUCCUUGGUGAAGAACACAAUGACAUUAGCCAAGGGAGAAAGCUCCGGCUAACUACGUGCCAGCAGCCGCGGUAAUACGUAGGGAGCGAGCGUUGUCCGGAAUUACUGGGCGUAAAGGGUGCGUAGGCGGUAGGCUAAGUCAGCGGUCAAAGUUCCGGGCUCAACCCGGUGUCGCCGUUGAAACUGGCGUGCUCGAGUGCGUGCGAGGAAGGCGGAAUGCGUUGUGUAGCGGUGAAAUGCAUAGAUAUGACGCAGAACUCCGAUUGCGAAGGCAGCUUUCCAGCGCGCUACUGACGCUGAGGCACGAAAGCGUGGGGAUCGAACAGGAUUAGAUACCCUGGUAGU
rnacentral:rRNA from 1 species